rnacentral:lncRNA from 1 species
CUUGGAGCCUUAAAGACCCUCAAAUGGAAUCAGAUGAAGAGAAGUCAACUUGCUGCCAUCGUCCUGCAGCCCUGAGCCACUGGCCAGCACAUCAGGUCCACCCAUCUGGCCGGGCAGUACCUUCUUCAAGAGAAAUGGAGCCCUUCUGCAAGAUCCUGACAUUGAUGCUGCCAGUGCCAUGAUGCUUUUGAAUACUCCCUCUGAGAUACAAGCAGGUUUUCCUCCAGGAGUGAUUCAAAAUGGAGCACGGGUUCUGAGCCGAGGGCUGUUCCCUGGCGUCCGGCCAUUGCCAAUCACUCCCAUUGGAAUGACGGCAGCCAUGAGGAAUGGCAUCACCAGCUGCCGGAUGCGGACUGAGAGCGAGCCAUCGUGUGGCUCCCCCGUGGUCAGUGGAGACCCCAAGGAGGAUCACAACUAUAGCAGUGCCAAGUCCUCCAACGCCCGGAGCACCUCGCCUGCCAGCGACUCCAUCUCUUCCUCCUCCUCCUCCUCGUCCUCCUCCUCGUCCUCAGCUGAUGACCACUAUGAGUUUGCCACAAAGGGGAGCCAGGAGGGCAGCGAAGGCAGUGAAGGGAGUUUCCACAGCCACGAGAGCCACAGUGAAACAGAAGAGGAUGACAGGAAGCCCAGCCAGAAGGAGGCCAAGGAUGUUCUGGGGGACAGUGGGUACGCAUCCCAGCACAAGAAGCGCCAGCACUUCGCCAAGGCCAGGAAGGUCCCCAGCGACACGCUGCCCCUCAAAAAGAGACGCACAGAAAAGCCCCCGGAGAGCGAUGAUGAGGAGAUGAAAGAGGCAGCCGGGUCGCUCCUGCACUUAGCAGGGAUCCGGUCCUGUUUGAAUAACAUCACCAAUCGGACGGCAAAGGGGCAGAAGGAGCAAAAGGAAACCACAAAAAACUGA